GACUAGCAAGUGUGAUUCUAUUCGAUUCGUUUGCGAACGGCAUACAAACGUGCGUUUCCCUCGUAAUCGACAAUCUCGUUGGUUGGUUGGUCGUUGUUGGCAACGGUCGGCAUUCGAAGUAGUAAAAAAAAAAUAAUAAAAGUUGAAGAGAUGAAGAAGAUCUAAAAAAUAAAAUAAAAAAUCCAAAGUUGUUGAUAUUUGCAAGUUGGAAUGAAGAUUUUAUAUAUACAUACAUACAUGUGUACACAAAUGCAAAUAAAAAAGCAAAAGUUAUAAAUAAAACGAAUUAGUGCGGCAGUGAAAGAAAUUCCAUUAUUGAUAAAAAGGCGCGCGAAUUUCGGUUCGUUGACGUUUUUUUUGCUCUGAUUUUUGUGCUGCUCAAAACGAAGGGUUGAAGAAAACACCCACUGUGCCAUGCAAUUUAACAAAACAAAUUUCUAACACACAAAAUAUAAAUAAACUAAAUUCCACGCUUCAAGGCCAGUGUAAAGUAAGCCAGACGCUUACAAAAAAACAAAAAAAAAACGUAAGGUUUAAGAUUACAACAAUAAAAUUUCAAGCACGAAAUUUAAUUAAAAUUCAAAAUCAAAGCGCAGCUCUAAUUUCCUCGCCGAAGUAAAUAGUGAAAUAAAAUCGAAUAUAAAACAAUGAAAUUAGUCAACAACAACAAAAAACAUAAAACGGCUGUGCUGUCUGAGCUAAAGAAGCAAUGAAAAAUACCCAUUUGUGAAAAAAACACCAGUUGCAAGCAAACACAGCCAUAACAAAAAAUAAAAAAACAAACAAAAACACCGGCAAAGGUGACAACAAAAUACCAACGGUAACAACAAAUCACACCAGUAUUGCAACAACAGCACAUGCGACACCAUUUGAUGUUAGUGCGACACCCGAAAUAACUAAAACUGGAUUAAAAACCGAAAGGGCCAAAAAGCACCUCAGCAACAACCAUAACAACAGAGAAGUGCCAUAUGAAGAAGGAAUAUACAUGUGCAUGUGGAUAAAAAAGGAUUGAAUAUAAAUAUAAGUGAAUAGGUUGCAACAUAACGAAAUCUGUUAAAAAGUAGAUAACUUUUAACAGUAAAUUGUUGCCUAAGGCCAAAGAAGAAGUAGCAUCGCUCGAAAUCCUACAUAAAUUGGUUUAUCUUUUGAAGUUUACAACACUAGUGCAGAGCGCUUCAUCCUGCACAUAUUUGAAUGUGUAUACAUAUUUAAGUGUUUUCAAUUUAAAUGCCAGCGGCUGCAAGAUAAUAAAAAGUGUUAAAUGCAAUGAAAUUUGUUUAGCAAAAAAAAAAACAAAAAGUAAUAAGUAAAGCAUAAUCAACCAAUACCAAAGCAAAAUAACAAAUUUAUUUGGAUAAAGUUUAAAAUAAAAAUAAAUUGCAAUUAUUUGGUUUGUCUACAGUGAGGAAUUGCAACAAAACUAAAAAUUUAUAUUUGUGUAAAGUUUAAAGCCAACAAAAUAAUGCAAAAGUGUCUGGUAUAAGUACGCACGUAUGUAUAGAAUUUUGUGUAUAACAACAUAUGUAUAAGCACAAUCAUGUACUAUGUAUACUCGCUUAAGUAAUUGUAAGCGUUUGUUGCAUCAAAAUAAAUAGCAACCAACAAACCAGCGACACCUGGUUGCAAACAAUUUGCAUUAGCAUAUAGCGAAAAGUGUUAAAAAAAAACAAACAAAGUCUAUGGUAAAACGGCCAGUAGUGAAAAAAAAAAUCACCAGCAACAAUUUACAAUUUUGCAAUUGAUAUCGCUUUGAUGCCAAUUAGUCAGUUUGCCGGCUAAAACGCUGCCUCACUGACUAACUAACUGCCUCUGUGCAGCCACUUUACAUCGAAGGCAAAUGAAUAAAAAGCAACAACACAAACAACGUACGUUAUUGGAUUAAAUAAAAGGCAGCAGCAACUUUAGUUUCAACAUGGAUUGCGUAGUUAUCGCUAGGCCAACAACCGA